rnacentral:rRNA from 1 species
UGCAAGUCGUACGCGUUGGCCCAACUGAUUUGAAGUGCUUGCACGGAUUUGACGUUGGUUUACCAACGAGUGGCGGACGGGUGAGUAACGCGUAGGUAACCUGCCCAGAAGCGGGGGACAACACUUGGAAACAGGUGCUAAUACCGCAUAACAAUUCAAAUCGCAUGAUUUGAAUUUAAAAGAUGGUUUCGGCUAUCACUUCUGGAUGGACCUGCGGCGCAUUAGCUUGUUGGUGGGGUAACGGCCUACCAAGGCAGUGAUGCGUAGCCGAGUUGAGAGACUGAUCGGCCACAAUGGGACUGAGACACGGCCCAUACUCCUACGGGAGGCAGCAGUAGGGAAUCUUCCACAAUGGGCGCAAGCCUGAUGGAGCAACACCGCGUGAGUGAAGAAGGUUUUCGGAUCGUAAAGCUCUGUUGUUGAAGAAGAACGUGCAUGAGAGUAACUGUUCAUGCAGUGACGGUAUUCAACCAGAAAGUCACGGCUAACUACGUGCCAGCAGCCGCGGUAAUACGUAGGUAGCAAGCGUUAUCCGGAUUUAUUGGGCGUAAAGAGAGUGCAGGCGGUUUCUUAAGUCUGAUGUGAAAGCCUUCGGCUCAACCGAAGAAGUGCAUCGGAAACUGGGAAACUUGAGUACAGAAGAGGGCAGUGGAACUCCAUGUGUAGCGGUGGAAUGCGUAGAUAUAUGGAAGAACACCAGUGGCGAAGGCGGCUGCCUGGUCUGUAACUGACGCUGAGACUCGAAAGCAUGGGUAGCGAACAGGAUUAGAUACCCUGGUAGUCCAUGCCGUAAACGAUGAGUGCUAGGUGUUGGAGGGUUUCCGCCCUUCAGUGCCGGAGCUAACGCAUUAAGCACUCCGCCUGGGGAGUACGACCGCAAGGUUGAAACUCAAAGGAAUUGACGGGGGCCCGCACAAGCGGUGGAGCAUGUGGUUUAAUUCGAAGCUACGCGAAGAACCUUACCAGGUCUUGACAUCUUGCGCCAACCCUAGAGAUAGGGCGUUUCCUUCGGGAACGCAAUGACAGGUGGUGCAUGGUCGUCGUCAGCUCGUGUCGUGAGAUGUUGGGUUAAGUCCCGCAACGAGCGCAACCCUUGUUACUAGUUGCCAGCAUUAAGUUGGGCACUCUAGUGAGACUGCCGGUGACAAACCGGAGGAAGGUGGGGACGACGUCAGAUCAUCAUGCCCCUUAUGACCUGGGCUACACACGUGCUACAAUGGACGGUACAGCGAGCAGCGAACUCGCGAGGGCAAGCAAAUCUCUUAAAACCGUUCUCAGUUCGGAUUGCAGGCUGCAACUCGCCUGCAUGAAGUCGGAAUCGCUAGUAAUCGCGGAUCAGCAUGCCGCGGUGAAUACGUUCCCGGGCCUUGUACACACCGCCCGUCACACCAUGAGAGUUUGUAACACCCAAAGUCGGUGGGGUAACCUUUGGAGCC